UACGAAGGGGGCUAGCGUUGUUCGGAAUCACUGGGCGUAAAGGGCGCGUAGGCGGCCAUAUAAGUCGGGGGUGAAAGCCUGUGGCUCAACCACAGAAUUGCCUUCGAUACUGUAUGGCUCGAGACCGGAAGAGGUAAGUGGAACUGCGAGUGUAGGGGUGAAAUUCGUAGAUAUUCGCAAGAACACCAGUGGCGAAGGCGGCUUACUGGUCCGGUUCUGACGCUGAGGCGCGAAAGCGUGGGGAGCAAACAGG
rnacentral:rRNA from 1 species